GACCGCUCUGAUGGCCUGAGUGGUUGGAGUGUCAGCCUCGGAUGCGGAAAGUCGUGGGGUCGAACCCCACUCGAGUCA